AUAAUGCACCAGCGACUCAGGAAAGGCAAGUGGACGCUUGGUCUGACAAGACAUCCUUGCAUCAAACACCACAGGCCUCAGUAGGGGUUGAUUAUCCUGCAACGUUGAAAAGGGAAUCACUGUUUCUGGAUCGGGAAAGCCAGAUGGAAUCUCAUAUUCCAUCCUCUAGACUACCAUUGUAUGGGCAGGAACAUGGACUUGUGAAUCGUUCUUCAUUAAUAGGGCGUUCCGGAGGACCUGUUGUGACCAGGUUUGUUAACACCUAUAUUUUCACUUGCAACUCUAUGCACUUUAUUCGUUGAAGAACAUUGGUAAUGCCCACUAACCUAUAAAUUUCUUAUUUGUUAAUUGUUUAUGCAGGUUGCACAGACCAUGCAAAUACCUCUUGCAUAUGCAGAGGACAUUAUUGGUGUUCAGGGGACAAAUAUUGAUUACAUUCGACGCAGUAGUGGUGCUAUUUUGACUGUGCAAGAGAGUAGAGGGCUACCUGAGGAA
rnacentral:lncRNA from 1 species